rnacentral:lncRNA from 13 species
AUGUUCAUGUGUAUAUGUUUCAGGACCUCUAGUGACACUGAACAAGCCACAGGGUCUUCCAGUGACAGGAAAACCAGGAGAGCUGACAUUGCUCUCAGUGCUGCCAGAGCUGAGCCAAUCCCUGGGACUUGGGGAUCGGGAGCUCCAGGUUGUCCGAGCAUCUGGGAAGCCAAGCAUGACACCUCCCUGAAGCUGGGCACAGUGACUUAUGCCUGUAAUCCCAGCACUUUAGGAGGCCAAGGCAGGAGGAUCACUUGAGCCCAGGAGUUCAAGACCAGCCUGGGCAAAAUAGACCCCAUCUCUGGAAAAAACAACAAAACCUUCCCUGAGGCCAUGCACAGUGUUCACGCCUGUAAUCGUUGGGAAUUUGGGAGGCCGAGGUGAGAGGAUUGUUUGAGUCCAGGAGAUCAAGACCAGCCUGGGCAAUGUGUGAAAACCCUGUCUCUGCUAAAAAAAGAAAAAAAAACACAUACACACAAAAAAAACUAGCUGGGCAUAGUGGCACAUGCCUGUAGUCCCAGCUAUUCAGGCAGCUGAGGUGGGAGAGUCACCUGAGCUUAGGAGAUGAUGGCUCCAGUGAGAUGAGAUCCUGCCACUGUACUCCGGCCUAAGCAACCGGAGUGAGACCCUGUCUCAAAAAACAAAAAACACCCUCCCUGAGCCUCAGUUCUCCUAACUGUAAAAUCAAGAAAAUAAUACGCAUGCUCAAUGUGCAGUCACUUCUCCAUGACUGUACUUGUGGCAGGCAUUGCUAGUGGAUCCAUGAUACCCUUUCCUCUAACUGCCAUCAAUUAAAGAUGGUACUUGAGAUGAAAUAUUUCUGUAGUUCCACAAACUCAUGAGCUUUUUUUGUGGGGAACUUAAGAGCUAAUAUAUGCAGAAUUUCUAGAAGAGUUCUGGCACAUGGUGGACAAUCGUUAUAUUUGGCGCUGAGCUCCCUGGGGCCUGGGCCAGAAUGAGAACCACAUGAAGCUACAUAGUCCUGUUAUAUCAAACAAGGGGAGACCUUACUUGUUACUCAGGAGUGGUCUAGGUGGUAGUCCU